rnacentral:rRNA from 1 species
UUUUGACUGUGCAAAGGUAGCAUAAUCAUUAGUUUUUUGAUUCGAAAGCUGGAAUGAAAGGUUUGAUGAGAAAAUAACUGUCUCUAUGUAAAUGUAUUAGAAUUUCAAUUUUAAGUGAAAAAGCUUAAAUUUUUUAUAAAGACGAGAAGACCCUAUAGAGUUUUAUAAUUGAUUGAAUAUGAAAGUUAUUGAAUUUAUUUUUUUAUUUUUAUUUAAUUAUUUUGUUGGGGCGAUGGAAAAAUUUGAAAAACUUUUUUUUGUUUGUAACAUUGAUUUAUGAUUAUUUGAUCCUUUUUUUUGGAUUACAAGAUUAAAUUACCUUAGGGAUAACAGCGUAAUUUUUUUUGGAGAGUUCUUAUCGAUAAAAAAGUUUGCGACCUCGAUGUUGGAUUAAAAUUAAAUUUUGGUGUAGAAGCUAAAAUUUUAGGUCUGUUCGACCUUUGAAAUUUU